UGCAGCUUAAUUUGACUCAACACGGCGAAACUUACUAGGUCCAGACAUAGUAAGGAUUGACAGACUGAGAGCUCUUUCUUGAUUCUAUGAGUGGUGGUGCCUGGCCGUUCUUACUUGGUGGGGUAAUUUGUCUGGUAAAUUCCGUUAACGAAUGAGACCUCACCUGCUAACUAGCUAUGCGGAGGUAUCCCUUCGCGGCCAUGUUGGUUUAAGGCUACUUCAUUCUAAUAUGCAUAUUUUGGGGUUGUUACUUAUCUGUUGCAUUCCGGGCGAUUUUCCUAAUGGCCUCCCUCGCUUCGUCGUGCGAUGUCGUGGUCCGUGAGCG
rnacentral:ncRNA from 1 species